CUCCCCUCCCCUUAGCGAGGAAGGAUUUGGGUCGCAGACCUGGGUGGUCCCAGGACUCCAGGGCCUGCAGUGGUGGGGUAGGGUGGGGUGGGGGCACUGCAGAGCUUCCCAAGGAAGUCAGGCGACCUCGCCUCCGGAUAUUCAGAAGUGCUAGUCCACUUCUGGCAGCCUGAACUCUUCCUCCUUUUUUUGAAAUCCGAGAAUACUCUUCCUUCCAGGGAGAGAAACUGACCUGUAAUCCCAGCUACUCAGGAGGCUGAAGCAGGAGAAUCGCUUGAACCUGGGAGUCAGAGGCUGCAGUGAAGCGAGAUCGCAACAUUGCAUUCCAGCCUGAAGUGCUGCUGUAGGUACUAUGGCUCCUGAAGUUGCUUUCCCUGCAGUAACUGGAGUCCUCCUCGUCGUCUUCCAGCUCCUCCGGCAAAGGCUCAGCAAAAGAAAUCCAAGAGGACAAACACACAGGAAAACUUGAAAAACCAAGACCAUCUGUUUCACACGGAAGAGCACAAUUACUUCGGAAGAGUGCUGAAAAGAUUGAGGAAACUGUUAGCGAUAGCUCCUCAGAAAGUGAGGAAGAUGAAGAACCACCUGACCAUCGUCAGGAAGCAAGUGCAGAUUUGCCAUCAGAAUAUUGGCAAAUUCAGAAGCUGGUGAAAUAUUUAAAGGAAGUUCUAGAAGAUAUUUUGGACCUUGAUUUAUCUGUCUCAGAAACAGACGAUUUUAUCCAGCUUGUAAGUGGCGAAAAGACAGUGUUUGGAUCCAUUCCACUGGCUCAUCCAUAUGGGGGCCAGCAGAAACAGGUGAACAAAAGCAGCCCUUCCAGCCUUCAAAUAUUGUCUUGAGAGAGCAUGAUGAUUGGAGCUGUUGCUAAUUAGUCACCAAAAGUGGAAUCCUGGCCAGGCACAGUGGCUCACGCCUGUAAUCCCAGCACUUUUGGAGGCCGAGGUGGGUGGAUCACAAGGUCAGGAGUUCGACUCUGGCCAACAUAGUGAAACCCUGUAAAAAUAUAAAAUAUUAGCCAAGGGUGGUGGUGGGCGCCUGUAAUCCUAGCUCCUCGGGAGACUGAAGCAGGAGAAUUGUGUGAACCCGGGAGACAGAGGUUGCAGUGAGCUGAGAUUGCACCAUUGCACUCCAGCCCAGGUGACAGUGAGAGACUCUGUCUCAAAAAAAAAAAAAAAAAAAAAAAAAUAGCAGAAUCCUAUGAUAUCCCUGGACCACCAAAACAAAUUUGGUUCCUAUGUUUUUAGCCAUUGUUUGUUCAUCUAGUAUUUACAGC
rnacentral:lncRNA from 1 species